CCAUGCAAGUCGAACGAUGAUUAUCUAGCUUGCUAGAUAUGAUUAGUGGCGGACGGGUGAGUAACAUUUAGGAAUCUGCCUAGUAGUGGGGGAUAGCUCGGGGAAACUCGAAUUAAUACCGCAUACGACCUACGGGUGAAAGGGGGCGCAAGCUCUUGCUAUUAGAUGAGCCUAAAUCAGAUUAGCUAGUUGGUGGGGUAAAGGCCCACCAAGGCGACGAUCUGUAACUGGUCUGAGAGGAUGAUCAGUCACACCGGAACUGAGACACGGUCCGGACUCCUACGGGAGGCAGCAGUGGGGAAUAUUGGACAAUGGGGGCAACCCUGAUCCAGCCAUGCCGCGUGUGUGAAGAAGGCCUUUUGGUUGUAAAGCACUUUAAGCAGGGAGGAGAGGCUAAUGGUUAAUACCCAUUAGAUUAGACGUUACCUGCAGAAUAAGCACCGGCUAACUCUGUGCCAGCAGCCGCGGUAAUACAGAGGGUGCGAGCGUUAAUCGGAAUUACUGGGCGUAAAGCGAGUGUAGGUGGCUCAUUAAGUCACAUGUGAAAUCCCCGGGCUUAACCUGGGAACUGCAUGUGAUACUGGUGGUGCUAGAAUAUGUGAGAGGGAAGUAGAAUUCCAGGUGUAGCGGUGAAAUGCGUAGAGAUCUGGAGGAAUACCGAUGGCGAAGGCAGCUUCCUGGCAUAAUAUUGACACUGAGAUUCGAAAGCGUGGGUAGCAAACAGGAUUAGAUACCCUGGUAGUCCACGCCGUAAACGAUGUCUACUAGCCGUUGGGGUCCUUGAGACUUUAGUGGCGCAGUUAACGCGAUAAGUAGACCGCCUGGGGAGUACGGCCGCAAGGUUAAAACUCAAAUGAAUUGACGGGGGCCCGCACAAGCGGUGGAGCAUGUGGUUUAAUUCGAUGCAACGCGAAGAACCUUACCUGGUCUUGACAUAGUGAGAAUCCUGCAGAGAUGCGGGAGUGCCUUCGGGAUUCACAUACAGGUGCUGCAUGGCUGUCGUCAGCUCGUGUCGUGAGAUGUUGGGGUAAGUCCCGCAACGAGCGCAACCCUUUUCCUUAUUUGCCACCGGGUUAAGCCGGGAAUUUUAAGGUACUGCCAUUACAAACUGGAGGAAGGC
rnacentral:rRNA from 1 species